GGUGGUUCAGUGGUAGAGUGCUUGCCUUGCAUGCAAGAGGCCCUGGGUUCGAUUCCUCAGCACCA
rfam:Dipodomys ordii contig_68103, whole genome shotgun sequence.